GAUGAACGCUGGCGGCGUGCCUAAUACAUGCAAGUCGAGCGAACAGACGAGGAGCUUGCUCCUUUGACGUUAGCGGCGGACGGGUGAGUAACACGUAGGUAACCUACCUAUAAGACUGGGAUAACUUCGGGAAACCGGAGCUAAUACCGGAUAAUAUUUCGAACCGCAUGGUUCGAUAGUGAAAGAUGGCUUUGCUAUCACUUAUAGAUGGACCUGCGCCGUAUUAGCUAGUUGGUAAGGUAACGGCUUACCAAGGCAACGAUACGUAGCCGACCUGAGAGGGUGAUCGGCCACACGGGAACUGAGACACGGUCCAGACUCCUACGGGAGGCAGCAGUAGGGAAUCUUCCGCAAUGGGCGAAAGCCUGACGGAGCAACGCCGCGUGAGUGAUGAAGGUCUUCGGAGCGUAAAACUCUGUUAUUAGGGAAGAACAAACGUGUAAGUAACUGUGCACGGCUUGACGGUACCUAAUCAGAAAGCCACGGCUAACUACGUG
rnacentral:rRNA from 1 species